ACGCGUUAAAUAACCAUUACCCUGAACGGUGGAUCACUCGGCUCGU
rnacentral:rRNA from 1 species